rnacentral:rRNA from 1 species
GCUUUCCCUCCAGAGUGGAUCCUGAGUACGGCGGAACACGUGAAAUUCCGUCGGAAUCCGGGAGGACCAUCUCCCAAGGCUAAAUACUCCCUAGUGACCGAUAGUGAACCAGUACCGUGAGGGAAAGGUGAAAAGCACCCCGGAAGGGGAGUGAAACAGUUCCUGAAACCGUGUGCCUACAAGUAGUUAGAGCCCGUUAAUGGGUGAUAGCGUGCCUUUUGUAGAAUGAACCGGCGAGUUACGAUUUGUUGCAAGGUUAAGCGGAAAAAGCGGAGCCGUAGCGAAAGCGAGUCUGAAUAGGGCGCAUAAGUAACAGGUCGUAGACCCGAAACCAGGUGAUCUACCCAUGUCCAGGAUGAAGGUAAGGUAAUACUUACUGGAGGUCCGAACCCACGCACGUUGAAAAGUGCGGGGAUGAGGUGUGGGUAGCGGAGAAAUUCCAAUCGAACUUGGAGAUAGCUGGUUCUCUCCGAAAUAGCUUUAGGGCUAGCCUCGAGGUAAAGAGUCAUGGAGGUAGAGCACUGUUUGGACUAGGGGCCCUUCUCGGGUUACCGAAUUCAGAUAAACUCCGAAUGCCAUGUACUUAUACUCGGGAGUCAGACUGCGAGUGAUAAGAUCCGUAGUCGAAAGGGAAACAGCCCAGACCACCAGUUAAGGUCCCCAAAUAUAUGUUAAGUGGAAAAGGAUGUGGGGUUGCUUAGACAACCAGGAUGUUGGCUUAGAAGCAGCCACCAUUGAAAGAGUGCGUAAUAGCUCACUGGUCGAGUGACCCCGCGCCGAAAAUGUACCGGGGCUAAACAUAUUACCGAAACUGUGGAUGAACCUCUUUAGAGGUUCGUGGUAGGAGAGCGUUCUAAGGGCGGUGAAGUCAGACCGGAAGGACUGGUGGAGCGCUUAGAAGUGAGAAUGCCGGUAUGAGUAGCGAAAGAAGGGUGAGAAUCCCUUCCACCGAAUAUCUAAGGUUUCCUGAGGAAGGCUCGUCCGCUCAGGGUUAGUCGGGACCUAAGCCGAGGCCGAUAGGCGUAGGCGAUGGACAACAGGUAGAGAUUCCUGUACCAGUGCUAAUUGUUUAACCGAUGGGGUGACACAGAAGGAUAGGGAAUCGCACGAAUGGAAAUGUGCGUCCAAGCAGUGAGUGUGAGAAGUAGGCAAAUCCG